rnacentral:rRNA from 1 species
GAUGAACGCUGGCGGCGUGCUUAACACAUGCAAGUCGAACGAUGAAGCCCAGCUUGCUGGGUGGCUUAGUGGCGAACGGGUGAGUAACACGUGAGUAACCUGCCCUUAACUCUGGGAUAAGCCUGGGAAACUGGGUCUAAUACCGGAUAGGAGCGUCCACCGCAUGGUGGGCGUUGGUAAGCUUUACCGUUCUUGGAUGGACUCGCUGCCUAUCAGCUUGUUGGUGGGGUACUGGCUCACCAAGGCGACAACCGGUAGCCGGCCUGAGAGGGUGACCGGCCACACUGGUACUGAGACACGCCCCAGACUCCUACGGGACGGCGCAGUGGGGAAUAUUGCACAAUGGGCGAAAGCCUGAUGCAGCGACGCCGCGUGAGGGAUGACGGCCUUCGGGUUGUAAACCUCUUUCAGUAGGGAAGAAGCGAACGUGACGGUACCUGAAGAAGAAGCACCGGCUAACUACGUG